UGUAUGUACUGAAGGUGAUCACUUUCAUCAGGUCUGUUUCUUUUCUCCCGCAGAAUGUGAGAGAUGUGACCAACCGUCCACUCACUGAGUUCAUGGCUCCCUGUAUUGACUCCCUCCCACCACUGGCUUUCACCAAUCGGAGGCCUAUACCAACCAUGUUGCAUCCCCCCUCUCCAUUGGCCAUACGCGCUCAGGAUGCACAGCGGUUCAUUGUAUUUUCCUACUUUGUCCCUGCUGAGUGCCCAGUUGCCACAGAGGCCACUGCAGAUGUAUCUGCUGGUAAAAGAGAGGACUUAUCGACAGAUACACAUCUUUCCUCAAUGCUUCAUCGAUACCUGCCACACUUCUUUAACGAUGACUCCAUUCCACCACAGCAGACAGAGGGAACCACUGAGGUCUCAGUUGCUCCAGUGGCAAUAUCUAAUAUCAAGGAAGAGGACAGAUUCUAUCCUUUCUCCCUUCCACCACUGGCUCAGCGGUUCAUUGGCAAUUCAUUCAAUGUCCCGGAAACCUCCCAGCUUGCUGUUUCAGCCAUGGAGUGCCGAGUUGCCAAUGUGGCCACUGCAGGUACAGCCACUGUCAAGAGAGAGAACCGAUGGGAAGCUAGAAUUCUUCCUUCAGUGCAGCCUCCAUGCCUGCCACCAGUCUUUGACAAUGACUUCAUGCCUCCAGAGCACACAGUAGAGGAUGCCUAUGAGGUCUCAUUUGCUACAGAGGCCACUUCAGACACAGCUACUGUUGAUGGAGUGGACAGAUCAGCAGCGAAAUGCCCUGUCCCAAUGCUGCCUCCAAGUGUGCCAGGUGUCUUUGACAUUGACAACAAACUGUCAGGGGCAGCAGCAGAGGGAACCAACAAGUGUCCAGUUGCCAGUGAAACAACCAAUGAUGUGUCCACUCACCUCAAAGAGGACAUGGCAGCUGAUCAAAGCCCUCCUGACCCUGCAGCACUGCCUCCAAGCUCACCAUAUAUCUGUGACUCUGACCACAAACUGACCAAGGAGGAAAAAGAGGAUGCCACAGAGUCCUCCCUUGCCACAGAGAUCACUGCAGGCAAUUCCAUUGUCCAGGGAGAGGACCUGGAUAAAAGCCCUGCUCCAAGGCUGCCUCCAAGCUUGUCACACAUUUUGGACAAUGACCAUAAGCAGCCAGAGGAGACGAUAGAGGGCGCCACUGAGUGCUCAGUCGCCGCAGAGGCAUCAGUUGCUAAUAGAGAGGAUCCAUCGGCAGCUACAGCUCUUCACACAGUGCUGCCUUCAAGUCUGCAACUUGUCUUUGACAAUGACUACAAACGGCCAGAGGAGGCAGUAGAGGGCGCCAGCAAGUGUCCAGUUGCCAGUGAAGCAGCCGCUUCUGUGUCUACUGUCCUCCAAGAGGAGUUUUUGACUCAUAAAAGUCCUCCUGCUCCCGCAGCACUGCCUCAAAGGCUACCCUGCACCCACAACAUUGACCACAAACAGCCAGAGGAGACUGUUAAGAACACCACAGAGUGCUCAGUUGACAUAGAGGCAUGUGCAGUUGCAUCCACUGUCAAGAGAGAGGAACUGACAGGUGAUAAAAGCCCUGUCCAUGCACUUCCUCCAAGCCUGGAAUGCAUCCAUGACAAGGACCACAAGCAGCCAGAUCAGAAAGGGAGGGGCACUACUGUGGAGUUGGAUAUCUGCCCUCACGGUCACCAGCUGGUCUCAGAUGCUAACUUAACUCUGGCAACCCGCAAUGAUGAGCUGCCCACCCCUCUGAUCUGCGUGGUCACUAAGACGCCUGUUAGAGUGGGAGCCUCCAUAUGCAGGUCAGAGGAGGAGGAACCCAGGCCCUGGACCCUGGAAGAGGCAAAGGACCUGAGCCCUAGGACCAUGCCUCAGGACUACCUGGUAUGAUGACUCCUUGCUGUCCCCAGUCCACCUGGCCGUGCUGCUGCUCCAGUUUCAACUGUUCUGCCUGCGGCUAUGGAACCCUGACCUGUUCACCGGACGUGCUUGUUGCACCCUCGACAACUACUAUGAUUAUUAUUAUUUGACCAUGCUGGUCAUUUAUGAACAUUUUAACAUCUUGACCAUGUUCUGUUAUAAUAUCCACCCUGCACAGCAAGAAGAGGACUGGCCACCCCUCAUAGCAUGGUUCCUCUCUAGGUUUCUUCCUAGGUUUUUGGCCUUUCUAGGGAGUUUUUCCUAGGGAGUUUUUCCUAGCCACCGUGCUUCUUUCACAUGCUUUGCUUGCUGUUUGGGGUUUUAGGCUGGGUUUCUGUACAGCACUUUGAGAUAUCAGCUGAUGUACGAAGGGCUAUAUAAAAAUACAUUUGAUUGAUUUGAUUUGAUAUGAUAGAGUGAAUAUGAUAGAGGGGAAUAUGAUACAGGGGAAUAUGAUAGAGAGAAAUAUGAUAGAGUGAAUUUGAUAGAGGGGAAUAUGAUACAGGGGAAUAUGAUAGAGAGGAAUAUGAUACAUGGGAAUAUGAUAGAGAGGAAUAUGAUAGAGGGGAAUAUGAUAGAGGGAAUAUGAUAGAAGGGAAUAUGAUACAGGGGAAUAUGAUAGAUAGGAAUAUGAUAGAGGGGAAUAUGAUAUAGAGGAAUAUUUGUCACGCCUGCUCCCGCUCUCCCUCCCUGGCGCUAGAGGGUGCCAGGCUCCCCAUCAUUGCGCACUCCUGCCAUCAUCAUUACGCACACCUGCCUUCCCCCCUUCACGCGCAUCAGCGAUUAUUGGACUCACCUGGACUCAAUCACCUCUGUCAUUACCUUCCCUAUAUCUGUCUGGUUCCCCCCUCUGUUCCCUGCUUCUGCGUUGAUUGUCAUAUGUCCUUGUUUACCCGUAUGCUGCAGCUGUUCCUGUCUUGUUCUAUGUCUGUUCCCGAUUAAAUGUUUGACUCCCCG
rnacentral:lncRNA from 1 species